UCAGAUUCAAACUAUGGGCAGCUGGAGUGCCUUCUUGAGCAAUUUGUCCCCUAGGCUGCAUAUUUGGAGCAAGAGGUUCCUCAUAAUGGGCAUACUGAAGUUCAACAUGGUUAGGAAAUGGUGGAACCAUAGCAACAGAAGCAUAAGGAUUUCGCUGAACAGGUGGAGCAGUGAUAUGGAAGUUGAGAUAAGGACUCCUUUACU
rnacentral:lncRNA from 1 species